AUUGAGGCCCCUGGAGAAAAAGAGCUGGUGUAAUGCAUUAUUGUAGAUCUAAUCAUCAUAAGUUACUAAUGGUUAUGACACCUGAACACUUAAGUCUGCUUCUCCUCCUGGAAGCGCAUUAAGAACAUAGAAAAAGAACACAGCAGCUUUGACAUUCUGUGGCUUUCUACCCGGAUCAGACCCUGACUCGGCCUUAUUGGAUAACUGCCAAAGUGGGAAUUUAAAUAAAGCAGAGAAGUUUCCAGUGGCAUCUUCAGCCUAAUGGGCUUCUCCAGAACCCAAGAUGAGCCAUGAUGUUGUCCAAAAUAGGAUGAUUUUAGAUGGCUUUGAGAUAAGUAAGAUUCUUCGGCAGGAAGGAAGCAGGCAUUUUUGUGGUUUGACUGGACCAUAGGGAUUUUGUGGUGUCUGCUAUAAAAAGGUUCACAGCUGCCAUGGAAAAGAAAGGCUACAGCCCAUCGAGGUAGAAGAGCUCUUCCUGGAAUUAGAUCUGUUUCUAGAAGAAUGGUAAGGCACUCUGUUGGGAUAAGAUAGGAGGACUUGUACCUAAAAAAUAAAACCCAAUUUU